AUUAUCCACCGGCUCAUGCGACGACGGGUAGCCGGCCUGAGAGGGUGACCGGCCACAUUGGGACUGAGACACGGCCCAGACUCCUACGGGAGGCAGCAGUGGGGAAUAUUGCACAAUGGGCGAAAGCCUGAUGCAGCGACGCCGCGUGAGGGAUGACGGCCUUCGGGUUGUAAACCUCUUUCAGCAGGGACGAAGCGAAAGUGACGGUACCUGCAGAAGAAGCACCGGCCAACUACGUGCAGCAGCCGCGGGG
rnacentral:rRNA from 1 species